AACGUAGGUUCCGAGCGUUAUCCGGAUUUACUGGGCGUAAAGCGCGUUCAGGCGGUUUGGCAAGUCGGGCAUGAAAUCUCUCGGCUCAACCGGGAGAGGUUGUCCGAUACUGCUGGACUUGAGGGCAGUAGAGGGUGGUGGAAUUCCGGGUGUAGCGGUGGAAUGCGUAGAGAUCCGGAAGAACACCGGAGGCGAAGGCGGAUCUCUGGGCCGAUACUGACGCUGAGGAGCGAAAGCGUGGGGAGCGAACAGG
rnacentral:rRNA from 1 species